GGCCUUGUGGCGCAACGGUAGCGCGUCUGACUCCAGUUACUUGGAUCAAAUCGUUGAAUAACGACGAUUAAUGCCAUCAGAAGGUUAUCCGUUCAAAUCGGGUCAGGGUCA